rnacentral:rRNA from 1 species
GAUGAACGCUAGCGGGAGGCCUAACACAUGCAAGCCGAGCGGUAUUUGUUCUUCGGAACAGAGAGAGCGGCGCACGGGUGCGGAACACGUGUGCAACCUGCCUUUAUCUGGGGGAUAGCCUUUCGAAAGGAAGAUUAAUACCCCAUAAUAUAUUGAGUGGCAUCAUUUGAUAUUGAAAACUCCGGUGGAUAGAGAUGGGCACGCGCAAGAUUAGAUAGUUGGUGAGGUAACGGCUCACCAAGUCAAUGAUCUUUAGGGGGCCUGAGAGGGUGAUCCCCCACACUGGUACUGGGACACGGACCAGACUCCUACGGGAGGCAGCAGUGAGGAAUAUUGGACAAUGGGUUAGCGCCUGAUCCAGCCAUCCCGCGUGAAGGACGACGGCCCUAUGGGUUGUAAACUUCUUUUGUAUAGGGAUAAACCUACUCUCGUGAGAGUAGCUGAAGGUACUAGACGAAUAAGCACCGGCUAACUCCGUG